UCCUGACUGACCGAUAGUGAACCAGUACCGUGAGGGAAAGGCGAAAAGAACCCCGGCGAGGGGAGUGAAAAAGAACCUGAAACCGUGUACGUACAAGCAGUGGGAGCACGCUUAGGCGUGUGACUGCGUACCUUUUGUAUAAUGGGUCAGCGACUUAUAUUCUGUAGCAAGGUUAACCGAAUAGGGGAGCCGAAGGGAAACCGAGUCUUAACUGGGCGUUAAGUUGCAGGGUAUAGACCCGAAACCCGGUGAUCUAGCCAUGGGCAGGUUGAAGGUUGGGUAACACUAACUGGAGGACCGAACCGACUAAUGUUGAAAAAUUAGCGGAUGACUUGUGGCUGGGGGUGAAAGGCCAAUCAAACCGGGAGAUAGCUGGUUCUCCCCGAAAGCUAUUUAGGUAGCGCCUCGUGAAUUCAUCUCCGGGGGUAGAGCACUGUUUCGGCAAGGGGGUCAUCCCGACUUACCAACCCGAUGCAAACUGCGAAUACCGGAGAAUGUUAUCACGGGAGACACACGGCGGGUGCUAACGUCCGUCGUGAAGAGGGAAACAACCCAGACCGCCAGCUAAGGUCCCAAAGUCAUGGUUAAGUGGGAAACGAUGUGGGAAGGCCCAGACAGCCAGGAUGUUGGCUUAGAAGCAGCCAUCAUUUAAAGAAAGCGUAAUAGCUCACUGGUCGAGUCGGCCUGCGCGGAAGAUGUAACGGGGCUAAACCAUGCACCGAAGCUGCGGCAGCGACGCUUAUGCGUUGUUGGGUAGGGGAGCGUUCUGUAAGCCUGUGAAGGUGUACUGUGAGGUAUGCUGGAGGUAUCAGAAGUGCGAAUGCUGACAUAAGUAACGAUAAAGCGGGUGAAAAGCCCGCUCGCCGGAAGACCAAGGGUUCCUGUCCAACGUUAAUCGGGGCAGGGUGAGUCGACCCCUAAGGCGAGGCCGAAAGGCGUAGUCGAUGGGAAACAGGUUAAUAUUCCUGUACUUGGUGUUACUGCGAAGGGGGGACGGAGAAGGCUAUGUUGGCCGGGCGACGGUUGUCCCGGUUUAAGCGUGUAGGCUGGUUUUCCAGGCAAAUCCGGAAAAUCAAGGCUGAGGCGUGAUGACGAGGCACUACGGUGCUGAAGCAACAAAUGCCCUGCUUCCAGGAAAAGCCUCUAAGCAUCAGGUAACAUCAAAUCGUACCCCAAACCGACACAGGUGGUCAGGUAGAGAAUACCAAGGCGCUUGAGAGAACUCGGGUGAAGGAACUAGGCAAAAUGGUGCCGUAACUUCGGGAGAAGG
rnacentral:rRNA from 1 species